rnacentral:snRNA from 1 species
GUGCUCUCUUCAGCAGCACAUAUACUAAAAUUGGAACAAUACAGAGAAUAGCAUAGCCCCCUGCACAAGGAUGACAUGAAGCGUUCCAUAUUUUU